rnacentral:lncRNA from 1 species
CCCGCCGUACCAAGCACGCCACGCCACGCGCCGCGCUCCCUCCCGUCAAGCCGCUGCUGCCGAGUCCCGGCCGAGUGAUUUACCACUCAAUGCCAGCAGCCUCGGGGUCGGGGAUGUAGUCAUCAUCCGAGUCGUCGGCGGGGAUCAGGUUCUGCUCGCGCAGGAACGCAAAGCCAGCGGUCUGGGCGGCAUCGCGCAUCUUCAGGGGGAACAGGCCCUUCUCGGAGUCGCCCUCAAUCAGGACCUUAAUGACCUCCUCGCCGUCCUCGCGCUUGGCAACCUUGCCGCCAGCAGCAGCGACCAGCUUGUCCAUCCACUCGGUGGCCUUCACAUGGGGGUAAGACUCCUGCAGCUCCUUGGGC